rnacentral:rRNA from 1 species
GUAACCUACCUAUAACAGGGGCAUAACACUGAGAAAUUGGUACUAAUUCCCCAUAAUAUUCGGAGAGGCAUCUCUCCGGGUUGAAAACUCCGGUGGUUAUAGAUGGACAUGCGUUGUAUUAGCUAGUUGGUGAGGUAACGGCUCACCAAGGCAACGAUACAUAGGGGGACUGAGAGGUUAACCC